AUACGGGGGGGGCUAGCGUUGUCCGGAAUUAUUGGGCGUAAAGGGCGCGUAGGCGGAAUGGUAAGUCAGUGGUGAAAAUCCAGGGCUCAACCCUGGACCUGCCUUUGAUACUGCCAUUCUUGAGUGCGAGAGAGGAAAGUGGAAUUCCCGGUGUAGCGGUGAAAUGCGUAGAUAUCGGGAAGAACACCGGUAGCGAAGGCGGCUUUCUGGCUCGCAACUGACGCUGAGGCGCGAAAGCGUGGGGAGCAAACAGGAUUAGAUACCCGGGUAGUCC
rnacentral:rRNA from 1 species